CAGCAGCCACGGUAAUACGGAGGAUCCAAGCGUUAUCCGGAUUUAUUGGGUUUAAAGGGUGCGUAGGUGGCUUUUUAAGUCAGGGGUGAAAGACGGUAGCUUAACUAUCGCAGUGCCUUUGAUACUGAAGAGCUUGAAUGAACUAGAGGUAGGAGGAAUGUGACAAGUAGCGGUGAAAUGCAUAGAUAUGUCACAGAACACCAAUUGCGAAGGCAGCUUACUAUGGUUUUAUUGACACUGAGGCACGAAAGCGUGGGGAGCGAACAGGAUUAGAUACCCGCGUAGUCCCUGUCUCUUAUAA
rnacentral:rRNA from 1 species